GACGAACGCUGGCGGCGUGCCUAAUACAUGCAAGUUGAGCGCUGAAGGUUGGUACUUGUACCAACUGGAUGAGCAGCGAACGGGUGAGUAACGCGUGGGGAAUCUGCCUUUGAGCGGGGGACAACACUUGGAAACGAAUGCUAAUACCGCAUAAAAACUUUAAACACAAGUUUUAAGUUUGAAAGAUGCAAUUGCAUCACUCAAAGAUGAUCCCGCGUUGUAUUAGCUAGUUGGUGAGGUAAAGGCUCACCAAGGCGAUGAUACAUAGCCGACCUGAGAGGGUGAGCGACCACAUUGGGACGGAGAGACGGCCCAAACGCCUACGGGAGGCAGCAGUAGGGAAUCUUCGGCAAUGGACGAAAGUGUGACCGAGCAACGCCGCGUGAGUGAAGAAGGUUGUCGGAUCGUAAAACUCUGUUGGUAGAGAAGAACGUUGGUGAGAGUGGAAAGCUCAUCAAGUGACGGUAACUACCCAGAAAGGGACGGCUAACUACGUG
rnacentral:rRNA from 1 species